UACGUAGGGUGGCGAGCGUUAAUCGGAAUUACUGGGCGUAAAGCGUGCGCAGGCGGUUUUGUAAGCCAGAUGUGAAAUCCCCGGGCUUAACCUGGGAAUGGCAUUUGGGACUGCAUCGCUGGAGUGCGGCAGAGGGGGAUGGAAUUCCGGCGUGUAGCAGUCGAAAUGCGUAGAUAAUGCGGAGGAACACCGAUGGCGAAGGCAAUCCCUGGGCC
rnacentral:rRNA from 1 species